AAAAUAUAUGGGCUGGGUGCAGUGGCUCAUGCCUGUAAUCCCAGCACUUUGGGAGGCUAAGCUGGGCGGAUCACGAGGUCAGAUCGAGACCAUCCUUGCUAACAUGGUGAAACCCUGUCUCUACUAAAAAUACAAAAAAUUAGCUGGGCGUGGUGGUGGGCGCCUGUAGUCCCAGCUAUUCGGGAGGCUGAGGCAGGAGAAUGGCGUGAACCUGGGAGGCGGAGCUUGCAGUGAGCCAAGAUCACACCACUGCACUCCAGCCUGGGCAACAGAGCAAGACUCCAUCUCAAAAAAAAAAAAAUAUAUAUAUAUAUACAUAUAUAUGUAUAUAUAUAUGAAGGCAAAAACUAAGAGAACUGCAAAGAGAACAGACAAAUCAUAAUUAUAGUUGGAAGUUUCAAUACCCCUUUCUCAAUAACAGAACAGGCAGAAAAUCAGUAAAGAUACAGGAGACUUGGGCAUCACUAUCAACUUGAUAUACCUAGAACAUUCAACUCAAUGAGAUCAGAAUACAAAUUAUUUUCAAGUACACAUGGAACAUUUACCAACACAGACCAUAUUCUGGGCCAUAAAAAAAGUUUCAAUAAAUGUAUAAAAAAAGGCAAGUAUGUUCUUUGACUGAGAUGGAAAUAAAUUAGAAAUCAAUAACAUAUUGUUUUAAAAAUCCUCAAGAGAUUGGAAACUAAAUAACACAGUUCUAAAAAACCUGUAGGUCAAAGACGAAAUCAAAAGGGAAAUUAGAAGGUAUUUUGAACUGAAUGAAAAUGAAAACAAACUAUCAAAAUUUGUGGGAUGCUGUUGAAGCAGUGCUUAAGGGAUAUUUGUAGCACUUAACACCUGUAUUAGAAAAGAAGAAAGGUCUCAAAUCCGUGACCUCAGCUUCUACCUUAAGAAAUGUGAAACAGGCCAGCCACAGUGGCUCACACCUGUAAUCCCAGCACUCUGGGAGGCCAAGGCAGGUGGAUCACCUGAGGUCAGGAGUUUGAGACCAGCCUGGCCAACACAGUGAAACCCCAUCUCUACUAAAAAUACAAAAAUUAGCUGGUGGUGCAUGCCUGUAAUCUCAGCUACUUGGGAGGCUUAGAAACAGGAAUCGCUUGAACCUGGAAGGCUGAGGUUACAGUGAGCCAAGAUCGCACCACUGUACUGCACUCCAGCCUGGGCGACAG
rnacentral:lncRNA from 10 species